CAAUAGCUUGCUAUUGAUGAGAGUGGCGCACGGGUGCGUAACGCGUGAGCAACCUGCCCAUUUCAGGGGGAUAGCCCGGAGAAAUCCGGAUUAAGACCGCAUAUGAUCACGUUACCGCAUGGUAGAGUGAUGAAAUAUUCAUAGGAAAUGGAUGGGCUCGCGUGACAUUAGCUAGUUGGUAGGGUAACGGCCUACCAAGGCGACGAUGUCUAGGGGCUCUGAGAGGAGAAUCCCCCACACUGGUACUGAGACACGGACCAGACUCCUACGGGAGGCAGCAGUAAGGAAUAUUGGUCAAUGGGGGGAACCCUGAACCAGCCAUGCCGCGUGCAGGAAGACGGCCCUACGGGUUGUAAACUGCUUUUGCACGGGAAUAACCCUCAUUAUGUAUAAUGAGCUGAAUGUACCGUGAGAAUAAGGAUCGGCUAACUCCGUGCCAGCAGCCGCGGUAAUACGGAGGAUCCGAGCGUUAUCCGGAAUUAUUGGGUUUAAAGGGUGCGCAGGCGGGGAUCUAAGUCAGGGGUGAAAGACGGUGGCUCAACCAUCGCAGUGCCUUUGAUACUGGAUUCCUUGAAUAUACCUGAGGUAGGCGGAAUGUGGCAAGUAGCGGUGAAAUGCAUAGAUAUGCCACAGAACACCGAUUGCGAAGGCAGCUUACCAAAGUAUGAUUGACGCUGAGGCACGAAAGCGUGGGGAUCGAACAGGAUUAGAUACCCUGGUAGUCCACGCCCUAAACGAUGAACACUCGAUGUCGGCGAUAGACAGUCGGCGUCCAAGCGAAAGCGUUAAGUGUUCCACCUGGGGAGUACGCCCGCAAGGGUGAAACUCAAAGGAAUUGACGGGGGCCCGCACAAGCGGAGGAGCAUGUGGUUUAAUUCGAUGAUACGCGAGGAACCUUACCCGGGCUUGAAAGUUACUGAAGAUAGCAGAGAUGUUAUCGUCCUUCGGGACAGGAAACUAGGUGCUGCAUGGCUGUCGUCAGCUCGUGCCGUGAGGUGUUGGGUUAAGUCCCGCAACGAGCGCAA
rnacentral:rRNA from 1 species